UUGGAGGGCAAGUCUGGUGCCAGCAGCCGCGGUAAUUCCAGCUCCAAUAGCGUAUAUUAAAGUUGUUGCAGUUAAAAAGCUCGUAGUUGAAUUUCGGGGUUAGUAGGUUGGUCAUGCCUCUGGUAUGUACUGGUCUCACUGAUUCCUCCUUCCUGAUGAACCGUAAUGCCAUUAAUUUGGUGUUGCGGGGAAUUUGGACUGUUACUUUGAAAAAAUUAGAGUGUUUAAAGCAAGCUAACGCUUGAAUACAUUAGCAUGGAAUAAUGAAAUAGGACGUUCGAUCCUAUUUUGUUGGUUUCUAGGAUUGACGUAAUGAUUAAUAGGGAUAGUUGGGGGCAUUAGUAUUCAAUUGUCAGAGGUGAAAUUCUUGGAUUUAUUGAAGACUAACUACUGCGAAAGCAUUUGCCAAGGAUGUUUUCAUUAAUCAAGAACGAAAGUUAGGGGAUCGAAGACGAUCAGAUACCGUCGUAGUCUUAACCAUAAACUAUGCCGACUAGGGAUCGGAUGAUGUUAAUUUUUUUAAUGACUCAUUCGGCGCCUUACGGGAAAC
rnacentral:rRNA from 1 species